GAUGAACGCUGGCGGCGUGCCUAAUACAUGCAAGUCGAGCGAACAGACGAGGAGCUUGCUCCUCUGACGUUAGCGGCGGACGGGUGAGUAACACGUGGAUAACCUACCUAUAAGACUGGGAUAACUUCGGGAAACCGGAGCUAAUACCGGAUAAUAUAUUGAACCGCAUGGUUCAAUAGUGAAAGACGGUUUUGCUGUCACUUAUAGAUGGAUCCGAGCCGCAUUAGCUAGUUGGUAAGGUAACGGCUUACCAAGGCAACGAUGCGUAGCCGACCUGAGAGGGUGAUCGGCCACACUGGAACUGAGACACGGUCCAGACUCCUACGGGAGGCAGCAGUAGGGAAUCUUCCGCGAUGGGCGAAUGCCUGACGGAGCAACGCCGCGUGAGUGAUGAAGGUCUUCGGAUCGUAAAACUCUGUUAUUAGGGAAGAACAAAUGUGUAAGUAACUAUGCACGUCUUGACGGUACCUAAUCAGAAAGCCACGGCUAACUACGUG
rnacentral:rRNA from 1 species